rnacentral:tRNA from 1 species
UCCCUGGUGGUCCAGUGGUUAAGACUCAGUGAUCCCAAUGCAGAGGGCCCAGGUUUGAUUCCUGAUCAGGGAC